rnacentral:lncRNA from 1 species
AUCUGGGAAACCCUCAUCUUGUCAGAGAGCAGGUCCUCAAAGCAAAGGGAAGCCCGAAGAGCAAGUGUGUGAGCUGGCAAAAGAGCACAUUAGCAGAAAGCGGCCAGAUCUGAGUGGCCCGAGGGACAGCCGCUCGCCGCCGGUUCCUCACCUGUGUAAUGAGGAUUAAAAACCUCAGCCUUUUAGGAUUGUGGUAGCGCUGGAAGAAAUCCUCUAGCAAAGUGUUCAGCCCCAAAGCAGCUAAACGGAAGUGGGGACGCAAAGAGAGGGUGGAGACACUUAGAAGAGCAAUUCUGACUCUGCCUUUGCCCUAUCUCAGCAAAAUUAUUAUAUUUUUUGAAAUUGUAAUUCAGCUAUUGUAUAUUUUUUAAGAGACGGACAGUUUAUUCAUCAAUCCCACCAAUCUGGGACCCCAGGCCAUUUCCCUGCUGGCACUUCAGUCAUCGAACACUAUCUCCGAGCCUGGAAAUGAUCAUUCUCUGGUGAGGAAGUUAGAGCAUUGGGGGAAGAAAGUUAAACAGUGCUCUGGGUUUUUUUUAUACAUUUUUUAAAAAAGAUUUUAUUUUUCCUUUUUCUCCCCAAACCCCCCUGGUACACAGCUCUGUGUUUUUAGUUGUGAGUCCUUCUAGUUGUAGAUACAUUUUUUUUAAAGAUUGGCACCUGAGCUAACAACUGUUGCCAAUCUUCUUUUUUUUUAAUUCUUCUCCCCAAAGCCCCCCGUACAUAGUUGUAUAUUCUAGCUGUGAGCACCUCUGGUUGUACUGUGUGGGACACUGCCUCAGCAUGGCCUGAUGAGUGGUGCUAGGUCUGUGCCCAGGAUCCGAACCAGCGAAGCCCUGGGCCACCGAAGUGGAGUGUGCGAACUUAACGACUCAGCGUGGUCUGAUGAGCAGUGCCAUGUCCGCGCCCAGGAUUCGAACUAACGAAACACUGGGCCGCCUGCUGCGGAGUGCGCGAACUUAACCACUCGGCCACGGGGCCAGCCCCAACAGUGCUCUGUUUUGAACGUAGUUUCUGCAAGGUUCUCUAGGUGAGGAUGAGUGUUCUAAAGAAAAGGAGUUGUUUUUUUUUUUGAGGAAGAUUAGCCCUAAGCUAACUGCUGCC